rnacentral:rRNA from 1 species
UCCGUAGGGUGCAAUCGUUGUCCGGAUUUAUUGGGUUUAAAGGGUGCGUAGGUGGCUUUUUAAGUCAUGGGUGAAAGCCCGCAGCUCAACUGUGGAAUUGCCUGUGAUACUGAGGAGCUUGAGUGCGGUUGAGGCAGCUGGAAUUGGUGGUGUAGCGGUGAAAUGCAUAGAUACCACCAGGAACACCGAUUGCGAAGGCAGGUUGCUAAGCCGUAACUGACACUGAGGCACGAAAGCGUGGGGAGGAAACAGG